GAAGUGAAAACCGAAAAACUUAAAUAGAGUAGGUA
rfam:Joostella marina DSM 19592 genomic scaffold Joomascaffold_2, whole genome shotgun sequence.